AACGCACCUUGCGCUCCUUGGUAUUCCGAGGAGCAUGCCUGUUUGAGUGUCAUUAAUAUCUAUAUCAAUCCCUCCUUCUCUUGUGUAGGAGUGGUUUGGAUUUGGGGGUUUUGCUGGCCUCUUAAAAAGGUUCAGCUCCCCUGAAAUGCAUUAGCAGAACAAUCCUUGUUCAUUGGCGUGAUAACUAUCUAUGCUAUUGAAUGUGAGGUGCAGUUCAGCUUUCUAACAGUCCUUUGGACAAAUUCAUCAUUAAUGUGACCUCAAAUCAGGUAGGACUACCCGCUGAACUUAA
rnacentral:misc_RNA from 2 species